UCGCCCUUACAGGAGGGUCAGUUGGUUUACCUGCGAGAUAAUACUGUUCGGGGUCGCCACAAAAUUCAUGACGUAUGGAGUUCUGUUGUUUAUCAAGUGCUGAGGGCUCCUGUUGGGGAAGGAGCAGUUUAUACAGUUGCUCCAGUAAAUGACCUAUGUAAGGUAAAGCACGUCCAUCGUGACAUGUUAAAAGCCCAAGUCCAGAAAGAGGCUCCUGUUCCUCCUCCUAGGGUUUCUCCACCACAAGUCCCAGUAGCACCUUUGGAUACCUCCAGUGAUGAAGACCUUUGGUUAUUGGUAUCAGAAACCAGAUCAACGGCUUUUCCAGUACCUGCCCUUAGUGCUUCAGGUCCUACAGGGCUUCCUAUGGUGGUACCUGCAGGAGAUGGUCAGAUUUCAGAUGCUCCUAUUGUGCCCGAAAGAGCUCAGCCUUUGGAUUCUUUGUUGCCUGUAGUGUCUCAGCCUUGUUCUAGCCAGUCAUCAUUGCGUCGUACUUCACGUUCUACGGCUGGUCAGCAUUCUAAUGUUUAUCGUCUUCCACGUUCUGUAGGUGUGGAGAAUAUGGUUGAAUCCCAAGGCUCGGUUUUGAAUGCACACUCAGCUUUGUUUAGACCCUGGCGGUAGUCCCUUUUUGUUGCAUUAAUUUCAUCGUCGGGACGACGAUGCAAAAUGGGGGGGUAGAUUGUAGCAGGAGGGGUUUUGUUUACCCCACCUACAUUUCUUCAUUUAAUAAUGGUGUGCGGGCGCUUUAAGGUGCUGGGCGGGAUUUCUAUCCCCUAUAUAUAGAUGGGGGACCCUUAUUUGGUGUGCGCUUCCUGUCCCCCACUCCUCUCUCUCCCGGAGCGUCUCACUUCCGGUCCAGCGGCAUUCAGCUUGGUUGAUUUAGCGCGGUUUUUGGCUCACUUCCAAAGAAGGUAUUUGUGGCUACAGUAGUUUGUUAUAACCUUACUGUGUGACUUGAUUAACUCAUUAGCACAUUUUACUUGUAGACUUGAAGAUUUUCGGCUGUUUUGCCGGCCCAGCAGCGUUGUAUUGUGCUCUUGUGGGUCUAGUUUCACUUUCAGUUUCAUAAGGGAUAGCGGCCGUGUGGCUGUGCUGUUGCCGUGCUGUAGCUGAUCGUCUGCUGUGGCCAUUUCCUGUGUCUGCCGUGCCAUUUUCUGCUAGCUGCUGUUUGCUGCACCAGCUGUGAUUUCCAGUGGUGUUGUCUGCUCUCUGCACUCUAACCCUGAUUGAUUGGGGAAACUGCAUGCUGUAUGUUUUCUCACCCAGACUGUGCUGAUUGUGGCUUUUAGCUUCUCACAGUGCUGCUGUUUUGUUUCUCUAUUUUUGUUGUUAAUUUUCUUUUGCUAUUUUCUGUCUUAUUCAUUCUUUGUUUUGGAUUAUUAUAUCUUUGUUUAAAUUUGGUUUCUGUUUUGCCUGAGUUUGUAUUCUAUUUUUAUAAUUUUGCUUUGCGUUAUCAACCCUAACUAUCUGUGGCUUCUUUUUGUUUUGUAUGGAAUUAGGGUUGAUUUCUUAUUGACUACUUUUUCAUUUAUGAUUUGGUGUCUUGUCAUUUAUUAAGUAUUUCUCAUUUGUUUCAUAUAUUUGAUUUCUUUAUAAUUUGAGUUUGAGUGUUGGUUAAUUUGGUGGGAUUAUUUUAUUUUGAAGAUUAGUGCAGUCAGUCGACUGCACUUUCCUGAUUUUUGUAUUUUGUGUUUGGAUUACUUUAAUUUGGGUUAAUUUUGGUUAUUUGGACUAUCUUCUCUUUCUUCUGUUUAGCAGAACUGUGUGUGUGUGUGUGUGUGUUGUGGUGGUUGUACUGUGGUGUGGUAAAGAGGGGCUGCGAGAGACCAGGACUAAAUAAGAUAAGUGUUUUUCUCUUUUAUAUAGUUGUCGUAAUUAAUUGUGUAGUUUUAAUUUGAAAUAUAGUUCUGGUAAA